GAUGAACGCUGGCGGUGUGCCUAAUACAUGCAAGUCGAGCGAACAGACGAGGAGCUUACUCCUCUGACGUUAGCGGCGGACGGGUGAGUAACACGUGGAUAACCUACCUAUAAGACUGGGAUAACUUCGGGAAACCGGAGCUAAUACCGGAUAACAUGUUGAACCGCGUGGUUCAACAGUAAAAGACGGUCUUGCUGUCACUUAUAGAUGGAUCCGCGUCGCAUUAGCUAGUUGGUAAGGUAACGGCUUACCAAGGCAACGAUGCGUAGCCGACCUGAGAGGGUGAUCGGCCACACUGGAACUGAGACACGGUCCAGACUCCUACGGGAGGCAGCAGUAGGGAAUCUUCCGCAAUGGGCGAAAGCCUGACGGAGCAACGCCGCGUGAGUGAAGAAGGUCUUCGGAUCGUAAAACUCUGUUAUUAGGGAAGAACAAAUGUGUAAGUAACUAUGCACGUCUUGACGGUACCUAAUCAGAAAGCCACGGCUAACUACGUG
rnacentral:rRNA from 1 species